rnacentral:lncRNA from 1 species
AAACCCGGAGGAGAGAGGAGGGGAGACCCGCCACCUCCCUUCAUUGCUCACAGACUUGUUCCCUCCCCGGUCUGCGGCUGCUGCAGCAGCGGCGGCGGCGGCGGCGGCGGGACGCAGGAGCAGUCCCGAGGCUGGCCACGGAUGAGACUGGAACGAACUGAGACUGCUGGUAGGUGUGGACGACAGACAGCUGGGUGGCAUGGGAAUGCAGGUGCCAGGCGAACUAGAGGGUGGUGCUGGGUGCGUCGUACCAUCAGGAGAAGAUCCCCUCCCCCUUGGCCUCUGCUGAAAGCAACAAGGGAACCCCUAAAAGAAGGGCUGAGAAGGUAUGCACAAGAUACUGGGUCUCCCCAAGAAGGGACUGGGAGGAGGCAGACGGGCAUUUGAACCCAAAUACGCAGUAGAAAAACCUGCUGCACUUCUCAGGUGGUGCUCAGAGAGGAGGGAAGGGUACAAAAGGAACAGAGUGUGUGGGUCCUCUGUCCGUCUGCCUGUUGGAGUAUCUGGUGCAUGCACAGAUUUUGAUGUUCUGAUGCACCUUUGAGUUGGGAGCUGAGA